UACGUAGGGCGCAAGCGUUGUCCGGAAUUAUUGGGCGUAAAGAGCUCGUAGGCGGUCUGUUACGUCCGCUGUGAAAACCCAGGGCUUAACCCUGGGCUUGCAGUGGAUACGGGUAGACUAGAGGCAGGUAGGGGAGAAUGGAAUUCCCGGUGUAGCGGUGAAAUGCGCAGAUAUCGGGAGGAACACCAGUGGCGAAGGCGACUUCCUGGCCUGUUCUUGACGCUGAGGCGCGAAAGCUAGGGGAGCAAACGGG
rnacentral:rRNA from 1 species